AUUGAACGCUGGCGGCAGGCCUAACACAUGCAAGUCGAGCGAGUGGCGGACGGGUGAGUAAUGUCUGGGAAACUGCCUGAUGGAGGGGGAUAACUACUGGAAACGGUGGCUAAUACCGCAUACUAUCGGAUGUGCCCAGAUGGGAUUAGCUAGUUGGUGGGGUAACGGCUCACCUAGGCGACGAUCCCUAGCUGGUCUGAGAGGAUGACCAGCCACACUGGGACGGAGACACGGCCCAGACUCCUACGGGAGGCAGCAGUGGGGAAUAUUGCACAAUGGGCGCAAGCCUGAUGCAGCCAUGCCGCGUGUAUGAAGAAGGCCUUCGGGUUGUAAAGUACUUUCAGCGGGGAGGCGUUACCCGCAGAAGAAGCACCGGCUAACUCCGUGCCAGCAGCCGCGGUAAUAC
rnacentral:rRNA from 1 species